AAUAAGAGGCGGUCAAAGGAAAACCAACGUGAAAUGAUAUAUUAUUAAAAAAGAAAAAGGAGGAGGCGUCACUUGGUAUAAAUCCAGAUAAAGGAAGGAAUCAUUAAUCGCUCGCUCGCUCCGAUUUCUCCAUUGCUGCACCUCGCGGUUGGACAAGAGAUAAUAAUUGAUUAAAACAGCGGAAGUUGUGGAGUAAUAUAGAGAGAUGGCCAGGAAUGAUAUCAGGCAAGUUAGGAUAAGUGGAAGCAAAAGGAAUGAAUCAGCACUGGCUCGAGUAAUGAAUAAGGUCAUUGCCUUUGUACGCUUUGCAGAAUUUGAGAUCUUCUUCGUUCUGUUCUUUCUCAUUGCUUUUUUCUUCUUCAAGAAUCUCACGUCCAGGCCUGAGUACAGCCAAAUCCUUGUAAAGAAGCCUGGCGGUGCUGACUUUUGGCCUUACUAGGAAGGCAUUGGAAGAGUGGCUUAUUGUAGCCACCCCCACCCCCUCUUGAUUUGCCGAGGGUUUAGUUGUUCUGUCAUAGAUUUUGCUCUGGUGCUACCAUAUGUUAUGUUGUAUGAUAAUUUCUGUAACAUUUCUUUUCAAGAAAAAUACUGUACACUUCUUCAAACUGGAUGUUUUACAAGGAAGGAAAUUGUUUGAGCUUUGACACAAAUUAUAUUAUUUCAAGAAGCAUGGUUACUCGUUUCAGUAUUUAUACACAAAUACCAGAUUUUAGGUGUGUCAGGCAGCUUUUAUUGAAGCUAUCAGCUACGUAUAGAGAUGGCAUUUUCUGGCGGUUAUUGAGAUGAAAAAACCAAUGUCAUUGCAUGAAUGUGUAGAUUUCAAGUAGAGGAUGGCAUUUGAAUUUGUAACUUCUACGCGAUUUGAUAAGAACAAAAGAACCUAUCCUCAUUAGCCAUUGACAUAUAACUUCUAUGUGAUUUGAUGUGUGCAUUAUCCAUGUCAAUGAUCUUAUUUUAAAUUCAUCUCAUCAUCAAUUGUUUAGCAGAAACUUCUCCACAUACUUUGCAAUCGAAUUCCAACUGUCACAGGCAUGUUAUGCAGACCCGCAUGCCCAACUUUGAAACAGGAAAGGUCCGCGAUUUGUGG